rnacentral:sRNA from 1 species
AUUUUAAAGGAUGACUGAUGGUCCUUGGAAGAGAAACAGUAAACAAAUAAGUUCCUGUCCCAUGAGCAGGGCCAGCUCACCAAGGAGCUGCAGCAGCACGUAAAGUCAGUGACAUGCCCAUGCGAGUACCUGAGGAAG